GAUCAUGGCUCAGGAUGAACGCUAGCUACAGGCUUAACACAUGCAAGUCGAGGGGCAGCAUGGUCUUAGCUUGCUAAGACCGAUGGCGACCGGCGCACGGGUGAGUAACGCGUAUCCAACCUGCCUUACGACUCUUGGACAGCCUUCUGAAAGGAGACUUAAUACAAGAUGUUAUCAUGAGUAAGCAAUUUUCGCAUGAUUAAAGGUUUACCGUGUAAGAUGGGAUGCGUU
rnacentral:rRNA from 1 species